AGAAAAAUAAACACAAAUAUAUUGGUCUCGGAAUACAUCAAAUCAAUUAAAGGAAAAAGAUAAAUAUAAGUUGAGCACAAUGAAAAUCAAAAUCAAGUAAUUCUGCACGAUUGUCCAAUGUUGCCGAAACAACACUCUUCAAUUCUGAUCUUCUUCUCCUUCGUUCCUUCUAAUUACUCUAAUGAUAAUUCCUUGCCGCCAUUCUAUGUAGUGCACGCCUCCUUUUUAUAUUGCAAAUUAGGUUAAAACCAAAGCCCAUGAGCGUGCAUGUGUUUAAAUUAGGAAACAUGCAG
rnacentral:lncRNA from 1 species